GGAAUUGUUCACAAUGGGCGCAAGCCUGAUGACGCAACGCCGCGUGGGGGAUGAAGGUCUUCGGAUCGUAAACCCCUGUCGAAUGGGACGAAUAGCUUCCGGAUCAAUACCCCGGAGGAAUGACGGUACCGUUAAAGGAAGCCACGGCUAACUCUGUGCCCGCAGCCGCGGUAAUACAGAGGGGGCAAGCGUUGUUCGGAAUUACUGGGCGUAAAGGGCGCGUAGGUGGCCCGCUAAGUCGAACGUGAAAUCCCCGGGCUCAACCCGGGAACUGCGUCCGAUACUGGUGGGCUCGAAUCCGGGAGAGGGAUGCGGAAUUCCAGGUGUAGCGGUGAAAUGCGUAGAUAUCUGGAGGAACACCGGUGGCGAAGGCGGCAUCCUGGACCGGUAUUGACGCUGAGGCGCGAAAGCCAGGGGAGCAAA
rnacentral:rRNA from 1 species